UACGAAGGGGGCUAGCGUUGCUCGGAAUCACUGGGCGUAAAGCGCACGUAGGCGGCUUUUUAAGUCAGAGGUGAAAUCCUGGAGCUCAACUCCAGAACUGCCUUUGAUACUGGAGAGCUUGAGUCCGGGAGAGGUGAGUGGAACUGCGAGUGUAGAGGUGAAAUUCGUAGAUAUUCGUAAGAACACCAGUGGCGAAGGCGGCUCACUGGCCCGGUACUGACGCUGAGGUGCGAAAGCGUGGGGAGCAAACAGG
rnacentral:rRNA from 1 species